rnacentral:lncRNA from 1 species
ACGGUGGUAGUCCCAAGAGGGAACGCGUAACCAGAGGCAUAGUUGCACGAGGGCGUCACGGCACCAACCACGAUGUCAGUGGCGGUGACGGCCGACCAGGUGACAGCAGCAGUGCCGCUGGCCGAAGCGUACACGGACGCCGGCGAGGGGACCGUAAUGGCCGGCGCAAUGGUGUCAGUGACAGUGAUGGUGAUGGUCUUGCUCGCGCUAUUGCCGCUUUUGUCAGUGGCCGUGCAGGUGGCUACGGUGGUGCCGACGGGGUAGACGCCAGAGGUGGAGGGGGCCGCGGGGGAGUAGGUGGUGACAACGUUGAGGUUCGUGUCCACGUUGUCAGUGGCGGUGCAUGUGAAGGAGAUGCCGUCGGCGCCGCCAAGCGUGUUGCCCUCCUUGGUGAUGGCGUUGGUGCUGGAACUGACCGUUGGGGCUGUGUUAUCUGUGGGACAUGCAGGGUGGGGGGGAUUACACGAAUGCGUUUGCAUGUGCGUAAUUGGUGAUUACUAUGUAGCAGAAGCAAGCAAGUGUUCUUCCAAGGUCGGAGCCGCAACAUGCGAAGCCAGUAGGAUCCAUGCCCCGCCGUGCCCCGCCCUGCCUCACUCCGUUCCCCGCGCCCCGCCCCACUGCCACCCAACCCGACCCGACCCGAUCCAACCCAACCCAAGCAACCCGCCAAGACCCGACCCGACCUACAGCAACCCUUGCCCACCCUACCCUCCCCUCCCCGACCCACGUCUCACCGAGAACGACCACAGCGAAUGUCGCGGUGCCGGUAUUGGUUCCGUCAGACGCGGUGCAGGUGACAGUGGUGCUGCCAAAUGGGAAAGAGUCACCAGAGGCAUAGUCACACGAGGGCGUCACGGCACCAACCACGAUGUCAGUGGCGGUGACGGCCGACCAGGUGACAGCAGCAGUGCCGCUGGCCGAAGCGUACACGGACGCCGGCGAGGGGACCGUAAUGGCCGGCGCAAUGGUGUCAGUGACAGUAAUGGUGAUGGUCUUGCUCGCGCUAUUGCCGCUUUUGUCAGUGGCCGUGCAGGUGGCUACGGUGGUGCCGACGGGGUAGACGCCAGAGGUGGAGGGGGCCGCGGGGGAGUAGGUGGUGACAACGUUGAGGUUCGUGUCCACGUUGUCAGUGGCGGUGCAUGUGAAGGAGAUGCCGUCGGCGCCGCCAAGCGUGUUGCCCUCCUUGGUGAUGGCGUUGGUGCUGGUGCUGACGUCUGGAGCUGUGUUAUCUGUGGGCGGACAUGCAGGGUGGGGGGGAUUACACGAAUGCGUUUGCAUGUGCGUAAUUGAUGAUUACUAUGUAGCAGAAGCAAGCAAGUGUUCUUCCAAGGUCGGAGCCGCAACAUGCGAAGCCAGUAGGAUCCAUGCCCCGCCGUGCCCCGCCCUGCCUCACUCCGUUCCCCGCGCCCCGCCCCACUGCCACCCAACCCGACCCGACCCGAUCCAACCCGACUCAACCCCACCCAACCCAACCCAAGCAACCCGCCAAGACCCGACCCGACCUACAGCAACCCUUGCCCACCCUACCCUCCCCUCCCCGACCCACGUCUCACCGAGAACGACCACAGCGAAUGUCGCGGUGCCGGUAUUGGUUCCGUCAGACGCGGUGCAGGUGACAGUGGUGCUGCCAAAUGGGAAAGAGUCACCAGAGGCAUAGUCACACGAGGGCGUCACGGCACCAACCACGAUGUCAGUGGCGGUGACGGCCGACCAGGUGACAGCAGCAGUGCCGCUGGCCGAAGCGUACACGGACGCCGGCGAGGGGACCGUAAUGGCCGGCGCAAUGGUGUCAGUGACAGUAAUGGUGAUGGUCUUGCUCGCGCUAUUGCCGCUUUUGUCAGUGGCCGUGCAGGUGGCUACGGUGGUGCCGACGGGGUAGACGCCAGAGGUGGAGGGGGCCGCGGGGGAGUAGGUGGUGACAACGUUGAGGUUCGUGUCCACGUUGUCAGUGGCGGUGCAUGUGAAGGAGAUGCCGUCGGCGCCGCCAAGCGUGUUGCCCUCCUUGGUGAUGGCGUUGGUGCUGGUGCUGACGUCUGGAGCUGUGUUAUCUGUGGGCGGACAUGCAGGGUGGGGGGGAUUACACGAAUGCGUUUGCAUGUGCGUAAUUGAUGAUUACUAUGUAGCAGAAGCAAGCAAGUGUUCUUCCAAGGUCGGAGCCGCAACAUGCGAAGCCAGUAGGAUCCAUGCCCCGCCGUGCCCCGCCCUGCCUCACUCCGUUCCCCGCGCCCCGCCCCACUGCCACCCAACCCGACCCGACCCGAUCCAACCCGACUCAACCCCUCCCAACCCAACCCAAGCAACCCGCCAAGACCCGACCCGACCUACAGCAACCCUUGCCCACCCUACCCUCCCCUCCCCGACCCACGUCUCACCGAGAACGACCACAGCGAAUGUCGCGGUGCCGGUAUUGGUUCCGUCAGACGCGGUGCAGGUGACAGUGGUGCUGCCAAAUGGGAAAGAGUCACCAGAGGCAUAGUCACACGAGGGCGUCACGGCACCAACCACGAUGUCAGUGGCGGUGACGGCCGACCAGGUGACAGCAGCAGUGCCGCUGGCCGAAGCGUACACGGACGCCGGCGAGGGGACCGUAAUGGCCGGCGCAAUGGUGUCAGUGACAGUAAUGGUGAUGGUCUUGCUCGCGCUAUUGCCGCUUUUGUCAGUGGCCGUGCAGGUGGCUACGGUGGUGCCGACGGGGUAGACGCCAGAGGUGGAGGGGGCCGCGGGGGAGUAGGUGGUGACAACGUUGAGGUUCGUGUCCACGUUGUCAGUGGCGGUGCAUGUGAAGGAGAUGCCAUCGGCGCCGCCAAGCGUGUUGCCCUCCUUGGUGAUGGCGUUGGUGCUGGUGCUGACGUCUGGAGCUGUGUUAUCUGUGGGCGGACAUGCAGGGUGCGGGGGGCGUGAUGACAAGAAUGCGUGUGCAUGGUCUGUGUUUGUAUUAACGGAAGCUAGCGGAACCUUCGUUCCAUGCAAAGCUGCAGCACACCAAGUCUGCCUGCUGGGUCUAUCUCUCUAAUCUAGCCCCGCCCCGUCGCCAUCUAUGCGCCGCGCCUAGCCAUGCCUGUGCCAUCCACUUUACUACUGCUGCGUGCAUUGACCCAUAUGAACCAUCCAUAGAAGACCUAACCUACAAUCCCUGAGGCUCUGCCUAAUUUACGGCUUACCCAGGACGGUCACAGUGAACGUCUUUGUGGCGACGUUUGGCGUGGGUUGCGCGCCAUCAGACGCGGUGCAGGUGACCGUGGUGCUGCCAGAUGGGAAAGAGUCACCAGAGGCAUGGUUGCAUGCGGGCGUCACGGCACCAACCACGAUGUCAGUGGCGGUGACGGCCGACCAGGUGACGGCAGCAGUGCCGCUGGCCGAAGCGUACACGGACGCCGGCGAGGGGACCGUGAUGGCCGGCGCAAUGGUGUCAGUGACAACAAUGGUGAUGGUCUUGCUCGCACUGUUGCCGCUUUUGUCAGUGGCCGUGCAGGUGGCUACGGUGGUGCCGACGGGGUAGACGCCAGAGGUGGAGGGGGCCGCGGGGGAGUAGGUGGUGACAACGUUGAGGUUCGUGUCCACGUUGUCAGUGGCGGUGCAUGUGAAGGAGAUGCCGUCGGCGCCGCCAAGCGUGUUGCCCUCCUUGGUGAUGGCGUUGGUGCUGGUGCUGACGGUUGGGGCAGUG